GGACCUGCUUGUAACGGUAAAAAGUCACUUGAACUGUUUCUCCAGCUAUAACGAACUACAAGUAAAACUAAAAAAGUAAAAGUAAACAUAAAAAAGUAAAGAUAUAAAAGGAAAACAAUGGGGUUUUGAAUACCAGGAGAAAAUAACAAUUUGCAUGCAAAUGAUCUGUGUUUUCCUAAGAGGACCUUGACGGAUAGGAUAAACGUUAACUAGUAACUGUUACUCAUGUUUGGGAAAUUUUUUAAUGAUGAAGAAUAUGCCUAGAACAUUUUUAAGCUUUAAGAGGAAGUUCUUAAAGUGUGGUGACAAUUAAUAAGUUAAAACAGAUUAAGGUAUAGAGAGAAGCGCGCAAAGACCUCGGAGUACCCAUUCUGUUUUAAUAAUAAUAAAUAUUAUUAUUCAGAAGGCUGGGGGAAAAAAGGCACAAAUCCUGUGAAAUGCUAUUUUUACUGAAGAACAGUAAAGACGGGAGCAGAAGUAACAGGUCACUCAAGAGGAGUGAGGUGUAUUUAUGUAAUUGUAAGUAUUUGUGUAUUUGUCUGUGUUGCUGGGGUGCUUAGAAGCUAUCACCUUUGAUCUAGAGAGACUAGAAUAGAGGUGAGGUUCAGGUUACACAGUGUAAGAGAUGAGGUUAUUAUAAUAUAAAAGAAAAACUGCAUAUGUUGUGUGAUUUAAGAACAAUAAGAUAGAGAGUGAUGCAGUUUAGGGAAGAGAUUGUGAUACAGAGGAGGUUUAAGCCUCAUAAAAUUAAUU